AUACGGAGGGUGCAAGCGUUACUCGGAAUCACUGGGCGUAAGCGCGCGCAGGCGGCUAUUUAAGUUGGAUGUGAAAGCCUACGGCUCAACCGUAGAACUGCAUCCAAAACUAUUUAGCUAGAGUGUGGGAGAGGAAGAUGGAAUUAGUUGUGUAGGGGUAAAAUCCGUAGAGAUAACUAGGAAUACCAAAAGCGAAGGCAAUCUUCUGGAACACUACUGACGCUGAGGCGCGAAAGCGUGGGGAGCAAACAGGAUUAGAAACCCUAGUAGUCC
rnacentral:rRNA from 1 species